rnacentral:rRNA from 1 species
UCAGGCCUAACACAUGCAAGUCGUACGGGGAUUUUUAAUUCAAGUGGCGGACGGGUGAGUAACACGUAAGAAUUUGCCUUUAGGAGGGGGACAACAACUGGAAACGGUUGCUAAUACCCCAUAUGCUUUCGAGUGAAAUGGAUUUUUCCGCCUAAAGAGAAGCUUGCGGCUGAUUAGCUUGUUGGUGAGGUAAUGGCUCACCAAGGCGACGAUCAGUAUCUGGUUUGAGAGGAUGAUCAGACACACUGGAACUGAGACACGGUCCAGACUCCUACGGGAGGCAGCAGUGGGGAAUUUUCCGCAAAGGGCGAAAGCCUGACGGAGCAAUCUCGCGUGAG